UCCACGCUGUAAACGAUGUGCACUUAACAGAUUAAGUGUUCCGCCUGGGGAGUACGGUCGCAAGAUUAAAACUCAAAGGAAUAGACAGGGACCCGCACAAGUGGUGGAGCAUGUGGUUUAAUUCGAAAAUACGCGAAGAACCUUACCUAGCCUUGACAUUGAAGAAACACACUAGAGAUAGAGUGGUGCCCUUCGGGGAAUCUGAAAACAGGUGCUGCACGGCUGUCGUCAGCUCGUGUCGUGAGAUGUUGGGUUAAGCCCG
rnacentral:rRNA from 1 species